GCUUAAACGAGCUGCUUAUAAGGAAGUUCUUAAGGAUUUUGCAGAGAUCAAAAUUUUAAAAAGGAAGCUGGCAUUGUCUCUUAGUCGUGAGGAGACUAAUUCUAAUUCUGUCAAGCUCAGCAAAGAUGCUUUCACAAGAUUUUCUGUGUCUACUUUCUCAUCAGUUGUUGAGUCAUUAACCCCUGAGAAUAGGAAGGUUAUUGAAGACUUUGGUUUUGGCAGUCUACUUCAUUUUGAUAGGUGUUUUGUACCAAACAAAUUUGUGAAGUGGGUAGCUAGACACGUCAACCACAGAUCUGCUGAUAUUGUUUUCAAUGGCAAAGUCAUCUCUCUCACCAAAGAAUCAGUCCAUUUGGUUCUUGGUUUGCCAUUG